rnacentral:rRNA from 1 species
GACGAACGCUGGCGGCGUGCUUAACACAUGCAAGUCGAACGGAAAGGCCCUGCUUUUGUGGGGUGCUCGAGUGGCGAACGGGUGAGUAACACGUGAGUAACCUGCCCUUGACUUUGGGAUAACUUCAGGAAACUGGGGCUAAUACCGGAUAGGAGCUCCUGCUGCAUGGUGGGGGUGGGAAAGUUUCGGCGGUUGGGGAUGGACUCGCGGCUUAUCAGCUUGUUGGUGGGGUAGUGGCUUACCAAGGCUUUGCCGGGUGGCCGGCCUGAGAGGGUGACCGGCCACAUCGGGCCUGAGAUACGGCCCAGCCUCGAACGGGAGGCAGAAGUGGGGAAUAUUGCACAAUGGGCGGAACGCUGAUGUAGCACCGCCGCGUGCGGUAUGACGGCCUUGGGGUUGUAAACCGCUUUCGUCUGUGACGAAGCGUGAGUGACGGUAAUGGGUAAAGAAGCACCGGCUAACUACGUG